rnacentral:rRNA from 1 species
AUUGAACGCUGGCGGCAUGCCUUACACAUGCAAGUCGAACGGCAGCACGGGAGCAAUCCUGGUGGCGAGUGGCGAACGGGUGAGUAAUAUAUCGGAACGUGCCCAGUCGUGGGGGAUAACGUAGCGAAAGCUACGCUAAUACCGCAUACGAUCUAUGGAUGAAAGCGGGGGAUCGCAAGACCUCGCGCGAUUGGAGCGGCCGAUAUCAGAUUAGGUAGUUGGUGAGGUAAAGGCUCACCAAGCCGACGGUCUGUAGCUGGUCUGAGAGGACGACCAGCCACACUGGGACUGAGACACGGCCCAGACUCCUACGGGAGGCAGCAGUGGGGAAUUUUGGACAAUGGGCGCAAGCCUGAUCCAGCAAUGCCGCGUGCAGGAUGAAGGCCUUCGGGUUGUAAACUGCUUUUGUACGGAACGAAACGGCGAGCUCUAAUAAGCUGAGCUCAUGACGGUACCGUAAGAAUAAGCACCGGCAAACUACGUGCCAGCAGCCGCCGUAA